AACAUUUUCCUCUAUUAAUUUCUGCAACUCCUUUGAAGCCUUAAGUUUAUUAUCUUUUACGAAAGAAGUUAGACCAAUCGAUUCUAAACUUUUGUAAUUUUCGAUGAAUUUUCUGCUGCUAGUCGAGGCAGAGGAAACCGUAUGUUUUGAAGAGUCUAAUACGUGAUUGUUUGAUGACGAAAAAUUUGAACUGGUGUCUGCUUCUUCCAGAAGCUUUCGAAGAGCGACUCCUAUGGCUUUGUGUUUAUUAAUUUCUUCGAUAGUAAAGUUAGUCAGCCUCUCUUCUUCUUUGAGGUCAGAUUUUAAAAUAAAGGUAUUGUUUUUAGUGUUCUUGGUUUCUGAAACAGCUUCCGAUUCCUUCAAUAAGUCAACA